GUGGAAAACUGCAGGGGAGCCUAAUCUCCACCCUACCAUCUAAUAUUCUUCAAUUCCACCUAUUCCCCUCUUUAUUCCUCUGUCCAAUACUUGCCGUAGAAGAGGAACAGGUUAAGCAAGCAGCGAUCCGAAAGGCCAUCCCUGCUUUCGGUUCCAGGAAAGAGAAAGAUAGAGGGCUCUCUUUUGUUUUCUUUCCUGGAAUCGGUUUCCCUUUGAGCUUUGAUUUUCCCGGGGAAAUUUCUAAGUGGAUCUGACAAGGCUUUCGUGGGUCUUUCUUGUAUUGAAUGACAUGGGGCCUCAUGAGAGCUUUGCACAUUAUUACAUCUGGUGUCUUUAACAACACUGGCAUUUGGCCCCUCAACUGCAGCAUUAGUUUUGGCUUGAACUUGCAUCAAUGAAACUUUUGCUGGCAAAAAGCAUGAAAAAACUUGUUAGCAAGUUGAGUGGUUGUCUUGGCCGCUUUACCAAACCAACAAUAACUACCUCAUUGGAUACACAAUCAAAAGGAGUGAUUCAAGGUCGCAAGGUGAAAAAGCCUAGCAUAUCAGAGUAUUUCUCGACCACCAGUAGGUGGGAUAUGGACAACAGUGCAGUUCAGUCGCAAGGAAGCAUAUCAUCAAUAAGUACAACCAAUCAAAUUCUGGAUUUGCAUGGUGUUGCAGGAAAUGCCAACACCCCUUCUGAAUUUGUAAAUCAUGGUCUUCUUCUCUGGAAUCAGACUAGGCAGCGAUGGGUAGGAAGUAAGAGGUCCGAGAACAGGGUUCAACAGACACGAGAACUCAAAUUAAGAUUUCAAGAAAUAAUAUCAUCCCAAGAAGCCCCAAGGGGUAGCACAAUUGGUUGGGGAUCAUGCCUCAUGAAUCGGAGUUGGAAUGCAUCGUAUGAAAGUUUGCUUGGGAGCAACAAGCCAUUCCCUCAGUCUAUACCGCUUGUUGAAAUGGUAGAUUUUCUCGUGGACAUCUGGGAGCAGGAGGGAUUAUAUGAUUGAGCAGCAGAAGUGUUUGAUGCAUUAAAAGUUUUUGAGAUAUCAAAACCCGUCAUAGCUGUUCUAACAUUCAAGAUGCUUCCAUGGAUUUCUUGGUUUGCAUGGCUAAGAGCAUUAGCAAUGGCAUUGCCAAAUGCAAGUCCAAAUUCAAAACAAAUGUGAGAAAAAACAUCUGCAUUGGCCUAGCUAAACUUAUCAAGUUUGACAUUUAUGCUAUAGUAUUUGUUAGCUCCUUUCCAAGUUUGGCGAGACAUCGAUAUAUACAAUUGUUUUUCACUCUCGUUUUUGGAUGAAUACAAAUUGUGUAAUUGUUUUGGACA